rnacentral:tRNA from 1 species
AAGACAUUAGUAAAAUGAAAAUUAUCUCACCUUGUCAAGGUGAAGUCGUGGGUUAGACCCCCGCAUGUCUUA